rnacentral:rRNA from 1 species
CGGGAUGGACGUACCUCUGGUGUACCAGUUGUCCUGCCAAGGGCAUGGCUGGGUAGCUAUGUACGGAAUGGAUAAGCGCUGAAAGCAUCUAAGCGCGAAGCCAACUUCAAGAUAAGAUUUCCCACCGCAAGGGUAAGACUCCAGAAAGACUAUCUGGUUGAUAGGUCGAAGGUGUAAGUGCAGCAAUGUAUUUAGCUUAUCGAUACUAAUAGGUCGAGGACUUGACCAAU